CCGGGAGAGCGCUGGCAACCGAGAUAGGCGCCACACUCCACCGUGCUAGGACGUGCGCGCCAGGCGCAAGGAAAACAAUAUGAAGGAAGUCACACGGCCAUGCGCACGCUGACCUAUACUAUAUGGUGCAUGGACACGGUGCAGGAGCGGAAUGAAACAAACGGCCUGGCAAAAUCAAAUGUUCUUUAUUUUUUUUUCAGAGAUUUAGGAAGUCUUUCACCACGACACGCAUGGCGCCUGCAUCAGCGCUACGGCUAAGGAGCUUACAAGGGAUCAUCCUCUGCGUGUUCUCCCGUGUGUUCACCCGAUGUACGGGAGAGGAUCUUCUAAGGGCCGGCCGUGCUCGAACGUUCUCGGCCGUCUUCGUGGCACCCCCCGAUUACAGGAAGCCUCGAGCUCGCUCAAUCCCGACGCCGCCCCGGCUGCGGGGGCCACCGAGCACUUUCUCCGCCGGCGUCGCCGGCACUCGGAGGCGGCUCUCAAAAGUUCGGAGCUGGAAGAUCAACUCUGGGCCGUCCGGCUAGCCGAAGAUGCCGCCCGAGUCUGAGGACUUCGAGCCGCCACCUGAGAAACCCACAACCAAAUUUGCCCGACCAUUCUUUCCAGCUACUUCCCCUUGGCAAGCAUGGUCGCGAGGCUGGCCUUGACCUUCGCGUCAUUUGUUCCAGAGAUGCUGCAAUCGUGUGCUGCAAAUAAAUAGAUGCAAUA